GCCAUAACGACGCGCCGGGGUGGCUGUGAGGAGCGUGAUUCCCGUGGCUCGCUGGCCCCGAGAGGCGAGGCGGUGUUUGAGGGGACGUUCCUAGCAGCUGCCGAAACCGUUUGUUUCGGGGAUCCUCCCUGUUUCUCCCCUGCUUGGCACUGGCGGCCAACGUAUGCUUUUCCUUGGUGGAAUGGAAACAUGCAUCUGGACGAGCCGACGAGCUUCAAGACCAAAUAAAAUCUUUGGACUCCUGGCCUAGUAUACAAGGAACUGCAAAGAGUACAGAGUUUCCAGAGCAGGAAGCUUGUGAGCCCAGGCUGGAGAGUGAGGCCGGGACCAGGUGACCGGGCCAUGCUUGUCAAGCCUCGUCACCUUGGAAUGAGGAAAGGAAUCAUAACCAUCUUUAGUCUCAGAAGAUGUCUGGGAUGCCGGCAACCUGCGUAGAUCCCAUAUCCUGGAUCAGUUGAACAUAAAUCCAAACUCCAGCAGACAUCUCGUAAGAGAAACAGAGGCAAGCUAAGUGAAGAAAGAUGUGGCAGUAUUUGCUUUAAAUGCCACCAAAGUUUACUGAAAUAUUUUGACUGUGUGAAUUCAUGGAUGUUUCCUGUUGGACAUCCUGGACUUUGCUGGAGAAGUGCCUAGAAAAACGUCCAGCACAAAGCAGUAGACGGUGUCAGGAGAUACACAGCAAACGUAGCUCCCAGUCUUUCCUACGAGGAGCCUGAAAUGAAAUGGACAAGCACACAGCUGAGUAUAAAGCCCUCUUCCUGCCAUCAGCCAUUGAAAGGUUUUCCCCUUACUAUAUCCCCUCAAAGAGGAGACCAAAUGAAAAGAGGCUUCACAACGUCAUCACUGAAUCCAAAAGGAGUAAAUAAUCUCUAGUCGUGCUUUAAUUAUGUGUCAGCUUCCUGUGUCAGAUAUAAUGAAGAUGUGUCACAUCUGGGAUUCAUCUAGCUCCCGUGACCUCAGUCAAUGUCUCCCUUCAGGAAUGGAGGACCUGAAACAGGGCCACUGAGAGCCCACACCAUGCCUGUGUGUGAAUUUAAAGGUGCAUCUGCUCAUCCCAAGGGAAGGGAACCACCUGGAAAAGGAGUGUUUGUUUUGUCUGUCUUCAGAGUCUCAUGAAAGUUGCUUUGGAAUGGUACCCAAAGAACCCGUGUGAUGGGCAAGCUUGGCCUUAACCUGUACAAGAGAACUGCUUAAACACGAUGCAUCGUCCAGAGAAUAGCUCUUUCUAGGAAGCAGACUCUGUUGUAGGAAAAGAAAGAAGAACUUACCUGGGUAAUCAUUCUUGUCUAUGUCAGAAUCUCCUCUUAAAGUAAAGCCGAAUCCAGAAGGGACAGCCUGUGAGGCCCACACUCCUUGCAGAAUUUGGGAAGCCUUGGCGUUUAAGCCAUUCUUGUUACCGUUGUAAAUGAGCACUUUGCCUCUUUGGUCCUUGCCUGCAAAGGGCGCACCGAUGGCAAUGUCUACAAACAGAGACACACAAUUUUUAAAUAAAGAAGAGUAUUUUAGAAAGAGAAAUAAGUACAAUCGAAGAGCAGUACCAAACAGCCCAAAGGGCUUCUUAAGUUUUCCAUGAAACUCUGUAGUACUGCAACAAGAGGAAAGUAUUUGUUGUCUUUCAUCCAUCCAAGAAAUAUUUAUCGAGUGCCUAUAAUGUGUUGGGCACAGUGGCUUCAACGGCGAACCAGACACUGCUUUUCAAAAGUUUAUAUUCUGGUGCAGGGAAUAGACAAUUUGAAUAAAGAAAUAAUCAAGAAAAGAUAGAAAGUGACAAAUGCUAUGAAGAGAAUCUUAAAAAUACUGAUAUGAUGGAGAGUGAUUGGAUUGUUAUUUUAGAUGAAGUGGUCAGACAAGGUGUCUCUAAGGCUGAUCUUGAAACUGAAAUCUGGGGACAAGAUGGAACUGACCACGUGGAAUCAGAAGGAAGAGCAUUCCAGGCAGAAGGAAUGACUGUGCAAAGGCCCAAGGAUGCAAGGAGCUUGGCCCACCUGAAGAGCAGCCAGAAGGUGAUCUACGUGGGAGCUUAGUGAGUAAUAGGGAAGAGCUGAGUCAGAUUAAUGGGCUGCGUGGACCAGAUGAGGCACCUUUGCAGAGUACUUAAGAGUUUCUUGUUAAAAGAAAUAAACAGGGCUUCCCUGGUGGCGCAGUGGUUGAGAGUCCGCCUGCCGAUGCAGGCGAUGCGGGUUCGUGCCCCGGUCCGGGAAGAUCCCCCAUGCCGCGGAGCGGCUGGGCCCGUGAGCCAUGGCCGCUGAGCUUGCGCGUCCGGAGCCUGUGCUCCGCAACGGGAGAGGCCACGACGGUGAGAGGCCCGCAUACCGCAAAAAAAUAAAAAAUAACCUCUUUCUUGAAUGAUUACAUCAUCCCAUGAUGUAGGCAAGACCCGUUUCAUAGUUGAGGACUCUGGGAAACCGAGAGAGAACCCUGUCGCCUGUCUCCCUGUUAAACAUAGCAGUGAAUGAAAACUACCUUCCAUAUAUUGUGUUCAUCAGGAUUGCUCUAAACAGUACACCUAACUACUUAGGUUUACAUGAAAAAGAGCACCAAUAGCACAGUAACAUAACAGCCCAAGCUGCGGACGAUGGUGUGUGUCCUCAUUUUGUCAUUCAUCCGUUUGUAGUUGUUCCUAAGUCUGAUAAGACUGAAUGAAUUGUAAACUGAUUUUCACUACAUAACAAGGAUCAUAAAUCCACUUUCACUUAACAGGUCUCCUAAAUGUGCCAGAGCACUACCGAAUCUCCCGAAAACGUCAGUGCCUGCGAGGGUCUGCGGAUUUCUGAAGACCAGCACGCUCACUUGCAAGUACAGGUUUGGGACAAGACACUAUAUCAGACUCUGAAAAGUCAACAUAAAAAGCACUAAAAGAACUGCUACUGCCGAGAGGGCCUAGAGGCAAUAGCACUCAACAGCAACAAGCAAACCCAGGAACCAGAUCUGGGUUUCUGAUACCAUUGUCCAAUAGAAGGAAUUCAGCUGCUUUGGAGAAACAGCUGAUUCUAAGGCUGGAGCAUGUAAUAUACAAGAUGAACCUGGGGUACCUUGUAGCACAGAAAAUAAGGAAAUGCUCAAAAACCAAACUGAUGGGAUAUGUCAAGGGGACACAAGAGUCAGCUGAAAGAGCUCCCACAGGCUACUUGAAGAGCAAAAUAAAUAAUAUAGUAUUGGAUUAUAACCCAAAGUCUAAAAUAAAUAAUUCUGAGCCCUGUUAUGGGCUGAAUUGUAUCCUCCCCCCCAAAAUUAUUUGCUGAAGCCCUAACCCCCGGUGAUACUAUAUUUGGAAAUAGGGCCUUUAAGGAAGUAAAUAAGGCUAAAUGAGGUCAUAAGGGUGGGAUCCUAGUCCCGAAGGACUAGUGCCCUUUUAAGAGGAAGAGACACCAGAAAUCCUUCUCUCUUGGUAUGUGCACAGUGAGGAUAUGGUGAGAAGGUAGCCAUCUGUAAACUGAGGAGAGAGGUCUCAUCAGGAACCAACCCUCCUAUUACCUAGAUCUUAGAGUUCCAGCCUCCAGAACAGCAAGAAAAUUAAUUUCUAUUAUUGAAGCCACCCAGUCUAUGGUAUUUUGUUAUGGCAGCCCUAGUAGACUAAUGCAAGUCCAUACUAAUAUAAAUGACUGAAUAUACAGAUAAGUGGGGAGAAGAGGCAAAUUCCUAUACAUUAGAAUUUUUAAAAAAUGUAUGUGGAUACUGCCCCCUUGAGGAGGUAGAGCACAACUCCCUACACUGUGUGCAGUGACUUUCUUCCAAUGAUACAGUAUGGAAAGGGGGUAAAAGUACAGAUUAACAUCAUCAGUGGUAAUUCAUGUUGAUAAUGUACCCUUGAUAUGACGUAGUGAGAACGGCACUUUACCUCCCCCAAACUAUAAUCCCAGUCGAAGCAAAAGAAAAACAUCAGACAAACCCAAAUUGAGGGCCACUUCACAGAAUUUCUCCAAAGUGUCCAGGUCACCCAAAAGAAGCAAAGUCUAAAACUGUCACAGUUUAAUGGAUCCUAAGGAGACAUGAUGACUAACUGUGACGUGAGACCCUGGAUGGAAUCCUGGAGCAAGGCACUAGGUAAAAACUAAAGACAUCUGAAUAAGGUAUGAGCUUCAGUUAAUAACAAUGUGUCAAUAUUGGUUCAUUAGUUAUGAUUAAUGAACAUAUUCAUGUUAGAUCUUAACAGGGGAUACUGGGCACAGGGUAUAUAUGGAAACUACCUGUACUUUUUUUUUUUUUUUUUUGGUAAGCUUGCUGUAAAUCUAAAGCUAUUCUAAACUAAACAGUGUAUUUAAAACAAAAAUGUGAAAUGGUGCAUUUAUUAUGUCUUCCACACGACUUCUGUUUUAUAUAGUUUCUCUGAAUAUUCCAAAGUGAAUAUUCACUUACUUUGUGUUGGGAGCAGAGUUUAGCUUAGUUUUGUUUCUUCUCACUGAGCAGGGCCCAUGUGUAGUCCAUAUUCUGCCACAUCUUGGUAGAAGCCCAGCUGAUAAAGAUUUGGGGGAGAGGGGAAGGGGGAGGAUCAAAAUUGAGCAUGUUUAUCUGCACGAAUAAGGAAUUCUUGUAGGUAUUUUUUAAAGAUUCAUGUGAGUCCUCAUGUUUGAAACAUCUUCGCAGUUGUAUUCUUCUCUCUCUUUCAAUUUUUUUUCUCUUUCUGUAGACAAUAUCUGAAAAUCCCUGAAAAAAAGACAUGCUUUUAGAUGUUUUGGAUUAAAUUCUCUAUUGUCUUUUUCCUUUGAAUCCUCUUGUUCUCUUUUCCCACAGAGAAACUCCCCGAUUUUUUCAUUUUAUUUUAAGAUUAUGUUACUGAACCAGAUGAUACAGUUUCAUCCUUUGCUUCUCAGGCUUAAAAAGAAAGAAAGAAAGAAAAAAUGCCCGUGCUGUGGGAUUUAGCAAACACUUCUCUCUUCUCUUCCAGACCCUGUCAGCUGCACUUUUCCAACCGCAGUCAAAGUGGCUCUACAACUCCAAACCCUGUUCCUCCUGGAUUUUCGUGCUGGCCGUCAACCAAGAACUGGCUCCAGCUGUACUGGCCUCUAAUUUGCUUAACUCUUUCCUCUUCUUUACUCCUAUGUUGAGAGUUAGAGGCGGAGGAAAGGAGAUUCAUUCAUUCUUCCCACAAGUAUUUAUCGGACACCUAUUAUAUGCCAGCCACUGGGGUUACAGCAGUGAAUAAGGCAGGCGAGGUCCCUGCCCAUAGAAGCCACAUUGUGAAGGAUGGGUAACAUCAUGGCGCACUUAUUAUUGCUACAAGAUUUAUUUGCAUGUGUGCUUUCAUUUAGUGCUGAUGAUGUAGGCACUACUGUCAUCCUCAUUUACCGAGACACAGAUGCCAAUUGACUUACCCAAUAUCAUGCAGCUAGUAAGUGACGGAGACACAAUUUAAAUCAAAGGACUCAGAUUCCAGAACGCUUGGAUUCCUAACCGUGAUAAUAUUGAUAAAAUUGUUCUUUUGUGUAGAUAAAUACGGUCCUAUUUCUAUCUUUCUCUUUCGACUCUAAAAAAAAAUUAAAUGCUGCUUCUAAACAAUAUCUGUAGUCUCAUGACAAUUCGAAAAAGAAAAAGCAGUUUUUUUCUUUUUUUUUUUUUUUUUUGAAGAAAAUGGUGCCGUUGGCAUGCAAUAGUUGCUUUUGUAGCAUCCAUCACCUCUCCCAUUUCUAGGUGAACCACAGCCCCCCGCCCCCACCCCAUUGCAGAGUAUCCAGGUGGUUCAGGUGGGCUGAACCCAGCAGGAACUCUACGGUGAGGCUCUGACUGGCGUAAGCCAAACAGCCUGUGCCUCUUUCCGGCCAUGUGAUUGGUGGGGGGAUGAAGCUCGUGCCCCAGGCAUAAACCAAUCAACGCCUGGCAUUCUAAUAGCUACUAUGAUUCGUUCAGGUUUAUAGAACGAGAGAUGCGAGGUGAGGCGCUUUCUCCUCCAGGUUAGGGAAGAGGUGGUACGUAACCCCAGUUGCUGGCAGCCAUCCUGGAGUAGGAAACUGAAAGCACAGAUAAACGGAGCUAAAGUUCUAAGUCCACCGCGUCUGAUGUCUUCCUCACUCCUCGACUUUUCAGACUCGCUCCCAGCAGUGCAUAGAACUCAGCUUGCUGCCAGCCUGUGUGCAUCUUCAAGGACUCGGGGGACUUGCUGCGGCAGUUCUGUGAAAACAAAGCUGUAUCUUCUCCAAGGGGUAUUCCAGGUACACCCCACAGAGCUCCUCUAAAAAGUAUAAUGCUGGAUAGAAAGACAAUGGGGCCAAUUGCUGGCACUGGAAGAAGACACCCCCUGCCACAGUAUUUCAAGACACCGGAGGCCAUUCGUGAGGGAAGUAAACAGCGGUUCAGCACCAACUGUCUCUAUGGCACUUCCAACUCAAAAGCCAGUGGGAGCUCCCAACUGUGAGGGCCCAAAGAGAAAAAGAAACAGCAUCAAAAGCAGUGGUACAUCAGAUAAACAGAAACAUCUCCGAAAAUGCUUACUUUCAAGAACCAAAUGAGGUGGAGGCUUAAAAUUCCUACAGUGUAAACUGAAGGUUAAAAAAGAAUGGCUGUUGGAAUUUGUGGAUGAGUGCUGUCACUGAAAUUCUCACGGAGGAGAAGGUAUACAGCUGGAGAUGAGAUUUUACGCAAGGGGGAACAUCUGGAGACACAAGAUGAAGAUAUAGUCAUUCUUCCUAUUCACAAUCUGUUGCAUUUCAACCUUUAUUACUAGUAAGUGAUGAGCCAAAGUUUGAAAUGAGUUUUAAAACAUUACUUCAAAAUUUCUAAAUAUUAAUUAAAAGUAUGAUAUAAAUAGUAGGAAAGGGAAUAUUGUUUUUCUCGGUCAAAAUAAAACACUCUUUUGGGGGAAGAGGUGGCAGAGAAUAUAAAUGAAGCAUCAUUUUAAUCUUCCUACAAAGUGAAGUUUUGGGAAAUUACUACCAUUUAUAAAGUUGGGGGAACAAGGAAGAUUCCAUUUUUAGCCAGAGAAAAAGGUCUGCAUCAAAUUCUCUGGCAUUAAAGAUUUCAGAAAAUGCAGGAGUGCAAAAAAAAAAAUAAUAAUAAUAAAAUGUUCACUGCUUAUCAUCUGCCUCUGGUUAUGAACAUAUAAAAAAAUUAGGCUACAGAAAAUGUGUUCUUAGCUCUUGUUCGAAUAGGCCUGGCCUGAUAUAGAAAGAUCAGUUGAAGCCUAGGGAAAACUCCUGGCAUACUCUGGUUUAACAAGUGUUCAUUUAGAGUAAGGGCUGCCACAUGUUUUCUGUAAUGGGCCAAAAAGUAAAUACUUUUGGCUUUGCAGGCCAUAAGGUAGCAUGAUAAUACAAUGCAUAGGCAGCAAGAUGGUACGAUAUAUAAACAAAUGCACAUGGCUGUGUUCCAAUAAAUUACAAAAUAGGUGGUAGGGCUUGAUUUGGCCUGUGGGCCAUAGUUUGCUGACCCAUGAUUUAGAGAAUAUAUUAUAUUUUCCCCCCAAAUGCUCUAACACUGAGUAAACAUGCCUUCUUUUGACUCAUCUGCAGAUAUAAUGAUAUCUUAAUCACCUUACUAGGUUUUACCAAGAUGAUAUUUUGGGUCUCAUCUGAGAGAGAAAAGAGGGUAGGAAGUUCUAGCUGGCAGGAACAGAAUCAUGAGAGGCAGAAAGAUGUGAAUUAGUGUAGCACAAGGGGAACUGACAGAGCUGAAGAGGACUGAGAACUGUGAGAGGCAAGGAGUAGUUAGGCAGGGAAAUCAGUGUUGAUGGGAGAACGAACUGACUCUGAACGUGCAGGGUUUGCAGGUGAUGCACGUGGCUGUCUUAAUGCUCGGCACACUACGAUCACCCAGGGCUGCCCAUCGUAGGCUUCUCAUGCGCCAGGAGAAAGAGGCCAUGGGCCCUAGAGGAGGUCAAGGCUGGAGAGCCUGCCAGGAAAGGUCAAAGGUGACACUCUGUAUACACAUACAAAGAGUCCUUUUAUAACCAUAAGAGAGAACAAAAAGGAAUGUAAAACUCAUCUUCCCAACUUCAAAAGAAAGUCUGAAAUGGAUUACCAAGGAAAUUAGUCACUGAUCUUCUGAAGAUGAAAUUAGAUGUUACAGGUAGGUUCCAACUAUUUUUAUGUUGUACCAGCAGCUGUCAUCCCAGAGAUUCAAAUGCACAAAACCAAAAAUGCCAAAUUUAUUUGUCUAACACUUUAUAUAUAUAUAAUUCUAAUAAUAUUAAAGUAUCAUAUUUUCAAAUUUAAAGCCCUUGUCUUGAAUUUUCAUUGAAAAUUAAGUCCAUAAUUAGUUCCAAUUCAAGGGGAAAAUAUGAAAGUGACCCAAGUAAUUUAAUCUUAGGCCCCAAAUAUAAAAAAGGAAGUCAAUGAGGCAAAGGGAAAAAUGAUGAUUAGAGAGAUGAAAAACAUAACAGGACAAAUAUCCAAAUGUUCUAUCAGGUAAUAUUUGGGCAUUUAAAGUAUAUUAACAUGUCUCAGUACGAAAAGGCCUGGCUUCUAAAAGAAGAAAAGAUUUAAUAUAUCAUAAAACAAAUGCUACACCACCUUGUUUUAACAAUAAAGUUCUAAAUUCCUUAAGCAUCUACUGUUCAAAAUCAUUUCUUCUACCUGUUCAGGAGAUCUGCAGGUUUUCAACUAACUCAUGAAGAGUACCAUGGUAUAUGUGAACACCCUGCCCAUGCACACAGGGCUCGCUCCCUCCCAAGGUACAGAUCCAAAGGUUUUACUCUGCCAUCGUUCAGAAGGCCUUCUUGGAGCAUUCUCUACCUUACUUAACAGAAACUGUCUCCUUCUUUGACGAGGUCCAUGUACGUACACUGUACUACAAUUCACCUCACCCACAUCCUUCCCCCCCACAAGGUCGUUUUAUUGUCAAACCAUAAAUACAACACUGAGAUGAAAUCAUUUAAGCAACUGAUCCUCCCUAACCAUUAAAACGAUGUCUUUUUGCCUUGGCAUCAACCAACUGGGAAAUAAUGUUGCAAGAAUUCGGGGUGUAGGGGGUGCUGAAUUUCCGGCAGGGGCUUUUGGCGAUUUAAGGAACCAAGUGGAACUUUCCUCUUCUCCCUAGGGAUGUCCCACUUUUGGACAAGAACAGACAGUAAAAGUUUUAAACACCACAAAACUGAUUUGGGUGUAAAUGGCAAAUGGUACCAAAACGAAAUGAAACCAAAAAUCCAAAGGACAAACAGAAAAAAAGCCUAAAUAAACCCUCAAGUUUGGUCUUGGGGGGUUUACAUAUCACAAGAACCGUCAACUCAACCCCCGGGCAACGUGACUCCUUGGAGAACUGCUGGGUCCACACCAAUGACACAGGAGACCGGAAACAACGUCUUCUGUUAAUUAACACAGCAAGGGUGACACUAGGUGGUUGCACAAAAUGAUUUCCUGAUGCUUGGCACCUGAAUGGCCCUGGACGCACUGCCCGGCGGGGCCGGGAGACUCCAGCCCCGUGCCAGGCCACGAGCUCGCUCACCGCUUUGGAACCCAGCCCCCUGGCUGGGUGGGAGGGAAGGGUCCCAGGUAGGGACCGGCUGCCACCUGGGUUGCUGGAGGAGCCCCCCUUCCGGCUGGCCUCAGACCCCACAGUCUCUUGCCAACCUGGACUUCAGGAAGCGCCACAGGGAUCCCAGACCCCUGAGGCUGCGGACCAGGCCAGGCUGUGCCCCUUUAAGGAACUUUGGAUCGAAGAGUCAAGGUGCCCGGUGGGACGCGUGAGUGGGGAAGACACCCAUGGGUCCUGAUGCUGACACCCAACUGCAAACGUAGCAAAUCCUUCUCUGUACAGGAGUUGAACCUUUAAAGCAUCGCCCGUGGUGGUGGAGGGGCAUGAAUAUAACAAACGGCAACCCGCUGCCCUUCACCCUCAUCAAAGUGGGAGCAGGUGCCUCUUCGCACAGAAACCACAGGGUCCCUCCAGGGGAUGGUGGGGCUCCACUGACCACGAUCCUCAAACGCAAAUGAAGAGAGGAAGAAAAACAACAACAACAAAAUCCUCCAGAAAACCCUGAAAAGGGGACACUGGGAGGGAAACAGAAGAGGGAAAACACUGCAUCACUGGUGCACCAUAACUGGCCUAGCAAACAUAAGCCACAGUGAAGAGGGGGCAGGCCCCUUCCCAGUUCUCCCACUGGCCCGGCUGGAUACAGGGGGCUGAGGUGGGGCUGGCGGGGCUGAGACAGGAGCCCCCAGCCACUGUCUCCAGCGGACAGCCUGAGCCUUACUUAGCCUCCUGGUUUCAUCUAAACCAGCAGCCUUUCUAGAGGCCCUCCCUCAGGUACGUCCCAGGGACAGAGGCACUGCCGCUGUGCCCAAGGCAAGGGCAGAGCUUUGAACCUGCCCGGCUCAGUGGGCAGGAGGAGACUGCUGGCCGUGCUUUGGGUGCCUCCUCUUCCCGUCUCUGCAGGCACAUCCAUUGUCACAGCAACACUCAAGUACAGUCCCCUUCUGGGCCAUGGCUCACAGGACCUCCCUUCUCCAUCUACAUCCCAGGUUCAUUCCAAACCUGUCUUGUGAACCUGUGCCCGCAAGGGUGCAUGCUGCAUCCCUGACAGCUCUCCAGGUGCCCACUUUCCAAGGAGUCUAGUCCAAGUCCAGGCGCAAGCCUAGGGGACCCCUAAAGGCAGAGGGUCUGCUUCACAGUGGAAAACACGCCCUGCAGAGUUUUUCUCUGGUGUUUCUCGGAAGUGCAGGAGAGAAAGGAGCAAACUGAAGGAGAAGACGCUUGCCAGCCUACAGAGCUGGUGUCAAAAAAAGUCCUUCCCAGAAAUCUGGAGAUGCAGAACGUCUCAACUGUGUCAUCGGACUGUCCUCUCUUCACCAAGAAACCUUCUAUUGGCGGGUUCUGUGAAACCCCUGCUGCUUGAUGACUCUGAGCUCCUAAAAGGUCCCUGCAGUUAGAUUCUGUGCUUUCCCCCCCUCAAUAGUAACUAGAAAACUCCUAUUUACAUAGGGUAGCAAGCUACAUUUUUUCCAACCACGUUCUCUAAAACACGUCAGAGUACAAUAUCAUGUUUGCUGCUUCACACAGAUGCUAAGAUUAAAAAGAUGACCAUGUCUACACUGGAUAGAAAAGACUUAAUAAAACAUGGCAGAGUUCAAUUUAAAAAUUUAAAGAUUACAUAGAGAAGAUGGUCAUAAAUUAUCUGAAGUUUUACAACCUGUUCAUAAAGGUUAUUAAAAUUUAUUUUCAACAUUGACAUUCAAAUAAAACUCAAUUGUGAAAAAUCUCUCCCAGUCCUACAAAAUGUGUUCAGUGAUUCUCUAUGGGUCAAGAAGACAGUUCCAAUGAUAUAAAAAUAAGUUCUGGGCCAUUGGACAUCUCAAAUAUCAAGUGAUUUUAUUAAGUAAACAGAUGGCACUGAAAUUUAAAAUGACAAACUUAUAACUCUUCUUAAAAAAUUGUAAUUACUUAGACUCCUAAAGAUAAGCUGUUCAUCUCGAAAAGAAAAACCAAAACAGUUAUUUCACUGAAUAGAAACAAUUUUCUUACCCAUCCUCAACCAUGAAGGCAAAUUUUAAAUAUGAUAGCGUAUAUAAUGUGACAAUGUUUACUUACAAAUACUCAUCAAAAUUGUUUUUAUUCACUAAUCUGGAGAAAGAACCUGUGUAUGUUAUGUGUAUUUAAGUUGAUCAGGCAGAAUAAAAGCAAGUCAUUCUGUUUUUGUCUCCAUAUAGGAUACUGCAUGCAUUAACUGUUAUUUCUUGAUUUAUAAGCUUAAGAUCUACUGAAUAUUUUUUUAACAACCUUAUGGGAGUAUGUAUAAUUGCUUUACAAUGGUAUGUUAAUUUCUGCUUUAUAACAAAAUGAAUCAGCUAUACAUAUACAUAUAUCCCCAUAUCUCCUCCCUCUUGCGUCUCCCUCCCACCCUCCCUAUCCCAUCACUCAGGGUGGUCACAAAGCACGUGGCUGCUUCCCACUAGCUAUCUAUUUUACAUUUGGUGGUGUAUAUAUGUCCAUGCCACUCUCUCACUUUGUCACAACUUACCCUUCCCCCUCCCUGUGUCCUCAAGUCCAUUCUCUAUGUCUGCGUCUUUAUUCCUGUCCUGGCCCUACAUUCAUCAGAACCAUUUUUUUUUAGAAUCCAUAUAUAUGUGUUAGCAUAUGGUAUUUGUUUUUCUCCUUCUGACUUACUUCACUCUGUAUGACAGACUCUAGGUCCAUCCACGUCUCUACAAAUAACUCAAUUGCAUUUCUUUUUAUGGCUGACUAAUAUUCCAUGGUAUAUAUGUGCCACAUCUUAUUUAUCCAUUCAUCUGUCGAUGGACACUUAGGUUGCUUCCAUGUCCUGGCUAUUGUAAAUAGAGCUGCAAUGAACAUUGUGGUACAUGACUCUUUUUGAAUUAUGGU